UCCUGAUGUGAUGGAGGAGGAUGAGGAUGCUGAGCCAUAUGUGCCAGAAGUUUCCAUCCUACUCCCAACCAGAUCCCAUGUGAAGGUGAGAAAAUUUAAGUCAUCACCGGAAUUCAUGACUUUGCAGCCCAUUUCACCUUUGGUUCAAAGUGAUGCUGAAGCAUCAGAGUAUUCUGUACCUCUAAUUCAGAGCACAGACCUUGAGACUGCUAGUCCAUCUGAAAAUGAAGAAUCCUGUUUAACAACUGAUUCAUCACUGUCUCACCAUGAAGACAAGCUACCUGUAGAACAGUUCAAGAACCUGAUGCUGAGGAUCGUCUGGUUGUUCAAUCUGAGUCAUCUAUAGGUCCUGCAAGUGUCAGCUCACCCUAUAACUCAGUUGAGUCUGAAACAUUGCCCAGGCGAUCAGAUCGACAGCGUCAACCUCCUAGUCGUCUAACAUAUCCUGUGUUGGGUAAGCCACUCAUUUCAGUAGUUCAGGCUCUAUUGCAUGGUUUGGCAAAUGUGUACACUGAGGCUCUUAGUCAAGUUUCUAAUGUGAAUAUCAAGAAAGAAAAUUAAUUUAAAUAACCCUGCAACGAGACGUGCAGGAAUUAAAGAGGGGAGGAUGUAACCAGGAUCAUUUUCUAUAUUAGGUUUAAUUUAUUUAUUUUAUUUUCCAUUUUGUUAGAUUUAUUUAAAAA